rnacentral:lncRNA from 1 species
GGCCGUGGGAGAGGGAACCGUGGCCGUGGUCGCGGUCGUGGUCGCGGUCAUUAGUGACUUCAUACACAAAUGUAAAUUGCAUUCGAUUUCACAGAUCUUACUCAGUCUAUACAGUGACGUGGGUUGAAGGCCGACAUGGUUGCAUAGCUGCAUGACCUCUGAUGUAUCAUUUAUAGCCUAUCAUCUUAUGUGUUAAACUUAUUUUUGUUCUUUUCCCCCUUUAUUUUGGAUUCUUUAUCAAGAUAAAUCUUGUUUCAUGCGAAACUUACCUGACUUCUUAACUCGUUAAGGGAAAAGGGGAGGGGGUUUUAAGUUAUCACAUCACAUGCUAAAUAUAGGAUAGGAGCAUGUAAUCUCAAUUUUGUUUUUAUUAUGUAUUAUUACCCAUUUCAGAUAAAUUUUCACCCUCAAUUUUUUUGGGUCUUAAAAUUUUCAUUUUGCCUGAAUGCAUAAAGUCUGCCUCCUUCAUAAAGGAAAAGCUCCAUGAACUUCUACUUAAUAUCAAUUUAGUAUGAUAAAGAAAUGCCAUUACACAUUAUGUACCAAAAAAAAAAAAAGAAAUG